rnacentral:misc_RNA from 1 species
GGGUUUUGUAAUUUUUUAUCCACUAACAUGUUAGAUUCUACUGAUUCUUUGUCUAUGUUAGGGUUUAAUUUCCCAUUAGUAAUAAGGUUGUUUGCGUACUUCCCUUCUACUAGAGUUGGCAUGUGUUUGACUUCUUCAAUAAAUUCUUUCAUCUAGAAAAGAAAGGAGUCCUCUUGCAACGGGUCUGGACCUUAUUUGCCCAUCAUGAGGGUUGAUUGGAAGUGGGCUAUUUCCAUUUUACACAGGAAAAGAAUGACUUUUUUGACACAAAAGUGUUGAAAUUAAAAGCAAUAUGGGUUUGAUCUUGAAGUUCUAGU